GAUGAACGCUGGCGGCGUGCCUAAUACAUGCAAGUCGAGCGAACGGACGAGAAGCUUGCUUUUCUGAUGUUAGCGGCGGACGGGUGAGUAACACGUGUAUAACCUACCUAUAAGACUGGGAUAACUUCGGGAAACCGGAGCUAAUACCGGAUAAUAUUUUGAACCGCAUGGUUCAAAAGUGAAAGACGGUCUUGCUGUCACUUAUAGAUGGAUCCGCGCUGCAUUAGCUAGUUGGUAAGGUAACGGCUUACCAAGGCAACGAUGCAUAGCCGACCUGAGAGGGUGAUCGGCCACACUGGAACUGAGACACGGUCCAGACUCCUACGGGAGGCAGCAGUAGGGAAUCUUCCGCAAUGGGCGAAAGCCUGACGGAGCAACGCCGCGUGAGUGAUGAAGGUCUUCGGAUCGUAAAACUCUGUUAUUAGGGAAGAACAUAUGUGUAAGUAACUGUGCACAUCUUGACGGUACCUAAUCAGAAAGCCACGGCUAACUACGUG
rnacentral:rRNA from 1 species